AGUGAACGCUGGCGGUAGGCCUAACACAUGCAAGUCGAACGGCCGCACAGUAAGAGCUUGCUCUUACGGGUGGCGAGUGGCGGACGGGUGAGGAAUACAUCGGAAUCUACUUUUUCGUGGGGGAUAACGUAGGGCACCUUACGCUACUACCGCAUACGACCUACGGGUGAAAGCAGGGGAUCUUCGGACCUUGCGCGAUUGAAUGAGCCGAUGUCGGAUUAGCUUGUUGGCGGGGUAAAGGCCACCAAGGCGACGAUCCGUAGCUGGUCUGAGAGGAUGAUCAGCCACACUGGAACUGAGACACGGUCCAGACUCCUACGGGAGGCAGCAGUGGGGAAUAUUGGACAAUGGGCGCAAGCCUGAUCCAGCCAUACCGCGUGGGUGAAGAAGGCCUUCGGGUUGUAAAACCCUUUUGUUGGGAAAGAAAAGCAGCAGAUUAAUACCCCGCUGUUCUGACGGUACCCAAAGAAUAAGCACCGGCUAACUUCGUG
rnacentral:rRNA from 1 species